GUUGUUGCUCAGUGGUAGAGCGCUCACCUAGCAUGUGAGAGGCCCUGGGUUCGAUCCUCAGGACCACA
rnacentral:tRNA from 1 species